rnacentral:rRNA from 1 species
GACGAACGCUGGCGGCGUGCUUAACACAUGCGAGUCGAACGGAAAGGCCCUGCUUUUGUGGGGUGCUCGAGUGGCGAACGGGUGAGUAACACGUGAGUAACCUGCCCUUGACUUUGGGAUAACUUCAGGAAACUGGGGCUAAUACCGGAUAGGAGCUCCUGCUGCAUGUGGGGGGUUGGAAAGUUUCGGCGGUUGGGGAUGGACUCGCGGCUUAUCGGCUUGUUGGUGGGGUAGUGGCUUACCAAGGCUUUGACGGGUAGCCGGCCUGAGAGGGUGACCAGCCACAUUGGGACUGAGAUACGGCCCAGACUGCUACGGGAGGCAGCAGUGGGGAAUAUUGCAGAAUGGGCGGAAGCCUGAUGCAGCAACGCCGCGUGCGGGAUGACGGCCUUCGGGUUGUAAACCGCUUUCGCCUGUGACGAAGCGUGAGUGACGGUAAUGGGUAAAGAAGCACCGGCUAACUACGUG